UGCAGUCGAGCGAACAGAAGGGAGCUUGCUCCCGGAUGUUAGCGGCGGACGGGUGAGUAACACGUGGGUAACCUGCCUGUAAGACUGGGAUAACUCCGGGAAACCGGAGCUAAUACCGGAUAGUUCCUUGAACCGCAUGGUUCAAGGAUGAAAGACGGUUUCGGCUGUCACUUACAGAUGGACCCGCGGCGCAUUAGCUAGUUGGUGGGGUAAUGGCUCACCAAGGCGACGAUGCGUAGCCGACCUGAGAGGGUGAUCGGCCACACUGGGACUGAGACACGGCCCAGACUCCUACGGGAGGCAGCAGUAGGGAAUCUUCCGCAAUGGACGAAAGUCUGACGGAGCAACGCCGCGUGAGUGAUGAAGGUUUUCGGAUCGUAAAGCUCUGUUGUUAGGGAAGAACAAGUGCGAGAGUAACUGCUCGCACCUUGACGGUACCUAACCAGAAAGCCACGGCUAACUACGUGCCAGCAGCCGCGGUAAUACGUAGGUGGCAAGCGUUGUCCGGAAUUAUUGGGCGUAAAGGGCUCGCAGGCGGUUUCUUAAGUCUGAUGUGAAAGCCCCCGGCUCAACCGGGGAGGGUCAUUGGAAACUGGGAAACUUGAGUGCAGAAGAGGAGAGUGGAAUUCCACGUGUAGCGGUGAAAUGCGUAGAGAUGUGGAGGAACACCAGUGGCGAAGGCGACUCUCUGGUCUGUAACUGACGCUGAGGAGCG
rnacentral:rRNA from 1 species